GGAUGAAGAACGUAGCGAAAUGCGAUACGUAAUGUGAAUUGCAGAAUUCAGUGAAUCAUCGAAUCUUUGAACGCACAUUGCGCCUGCCAGCACUCUGGCAGGCAUGCCUGUUCGAGCGUCAUUUCAACCAUCAAGCCCUAGGCUUGCGUUGGAGCCCUGCGGCUGCCGCAGGCCCCUAAAAGCAGUGGCGGGCUCGCUAUCACACCGAGUGCAGUAGAUUACUCUUCGCUCAGGGCGUGUGGCGGGUUCCAGCCGUGAAACCCCCUACUUCUCAAGGUUGACCUCGGAUCAGGUAGGAAUACCCGCUGAACUUAAGCAUAUCAAUAAGCGGAGGA
rnacentral:misc_RNA from 1 species